AAAAAAUAGACAUACAAACCGAGAUGCCUAUUAGACUCUGAAGAAAUCUGCCGCUGAAGGACAGACCCCCAUCCCCCCCCCCCCCCACCUUCGUCUUCUCCAGACUUAGACCAAAACCUCACAAGCUUCAACGAUUUUUUUGAGCUUCAGCAACCCAAACAACCCCUACUCUCUUCUUCCAUCUUCACAACCCAAAACCCCUCACCUCUAAGACCGGCAACAGACCACCCAUCACGCCGGACAACACACCUCCCUUCACCCAUCGUUGCUUAUACUUCUUCCCGUUUACAACAACCAGCUGGAAACGCACACACUCACGCACGCACAGUAAGAGAAGAGGUACAAAACAGACAAAAAUCAAAAAGGAAGGCUCUAACCUGAAAGUUUUUAUUUGUUUUCUCUGAAUUUUCAGAAUAUAUACAUGUAAGUAGUCUCUGUUUUAGAAGUUAAUUGGAUUGAGCUUAAGCAAAACGAAAACGUCUCAUGUUUCCUCUUUGCGAUUCUGAGUUCUUGGUUUCAAUUUUUGAGUUCGAUUGAGGUUGAGUUGAGUUCGAGUUUGUCGACGAGAUUCGAGUUCCUCCGGCGAAUUCUGAGUUCGUCGAAGAUGCGUUAGUCUGAGAUUUCUGGCAGAUUCGCGGGUCUAUCACGAUGUUAUUGUGGAACUCUGUUCUGCUCCUUCCAGGUACAAUGUUCCUGUGAUCUUCUUCUUUAGAUAUGUGAUGAAUUUGCAUCAUUUUUUUUGGUUUAUAAUGUUGUUAAAUGAAGUAAUUGCGGAAGCUCUGCGUUGUUCCAGUUAGGAGUACAAUCUUCAUUAACUCUAUUUUCUAAUGGCUACUUAAUAAUUUUAAUCUCUAUUUCAGAUUUCUGUUCGUUUUAUUUGUUUUCCUAUCCCUUUACUAUUAUUCUUCUUCCAUGUCAUUUUUGGUUUUAUCAUUUUGUUUUUAAAUAAUUUCAUUAGGAGUAGGAUGGAUUUAAUGGCAUAAUAUUACAAAAGGCAUCUAGUAUUUUUGAUUUUACACUUGAUUUUAG
rnacentral:lncRNA from 1 species